GACGAACGCUGGCGGCGUGCUUAACACAUGCAAGUCGAACGGAAAGGCCCUGCUUUUGUGGGGUGCUCGAGUGGCGAACGGGUGAGUAACACGUGAGUAACCUGCCCUUGACUUUGGGAUAACUUCAGGAAACUGGGGCUAAUACAGGAUAGGAGCUCCUGCUGCAUGGUGGGGGUUGGAAAGUUUCGGCGGUUGGGGAUGGACUCGCGGCUUAUCAGCUUGUUGGUGGGGUAGUGGCUUACCAAGGCUUUGACGGGUAGCCGGCCUGAGAGGGUGACCGGCCACAUUGGUACUGAGAUACGCCCCAGACUCCUACGGGAGGCAGAAGUGGGGAAUAUUGCACAAUGGGCGGAAGCCGGAUGCAGCAACGCCGCGUGCGGGAUGACGGCCUGCUGGUUGUAAACCGCUUUCGCCUGUGACGAAGCGUGAGUGACGGUAAUGGGUAAAGAAGCACCGGCUAACUACGUG
rnacentral:rRNA from 1 species